CGGGAAACAAACAUGACCCGGCAGCAAACUUGAUAACAAAGUAUAAUUGGCCUGGGACGAUCAAUAAUAUCAGGGAUUAUCUCAAAACCCCCAAAACGCUGAUAAUUAUUAUUACUAUCAUCGAUAACUCAUCAACACAACAAUAAUCAUGGUGAAAACAAAGCAUCGCAAGUCCAAACCUAGCAGUAGCAAACAAUCUCAUAAUAAGAAGCAUGGUAAACAAGCUGAUAUAUCUGAGUUUCGUGCUCAACUCGAUGCGUUGGGCUUGAAAAUUAUACAAAUGACAGCAGAUGGUAAUUGCUUUUUCAGGGCUUUGGCGGAUCAGUUAGAAGGCGACGAGGAUGAGCAUAUGAAGUACCGGAAAAUGGUGGUAGACUUUAUUCGUAAUAACAAAGAAACAUAUGAGCCAUUUAUUGAGGAUCAAGUACCAUUUGAUGAAUAUUGUCAAUCCAUGGAAAAUGAUGGCACAUGGGCUGGACAUAUGGAAUUACAAGCUGCUUCUCUUGUUACUCAUAGUAACAUAUGCAUACACCAAAAGAUGUCACCUCGUUGGUACAUACAGAAUUUUGAUAACCGUGAUGCUCGGAUGAUCCAUUUGUCAUAUCAUGACGAGGAGCACUACAACAGUGUGCGAGUAAAGGACGACACUUGUUCUGGAGCUGCUAGGCCUGUAACAAUCAAGGCCGAUGCUGACAUUUCCAUGGCAUCUCAUCAAGCUAAAGUUUCUGUCGCCAAAUCUAAAGGGAUAGCUGAUAAAAAUGUAAUCCCAGCAGAUUCAAUCAAAAUGGUCAUGACUGGAAGUGGUUGUGAAAAUGCCAGCAAAGCUGAACAUGUUUUGCUGCAGGUGGAGGGCAACAUUGAUGCUGCAAUAGAAUUUCUUGUUGCAGAACAAGGAUUAGAUGACCCUUUCCUUGAAAAUAAGAUUAUCUCUUUAUCAGCUGUCGAAUCACAUGGUGAGAAUCAGAAUAACAGCUCUGAGAAGCACAUGGAAGCCUUUGAUAGUAAAAUCAGAAAGGAGAUUCAGUCUUGUGGUACUGCGGGAAGAAAUCAUGUCGUUAACUGCUCAGAAAAUGCUAAGAAGAUGAUUCCCUCAAGAAACAAGGCUUGUCCCUGUGGUUCUAAAAAGAAAUACAAGUCUUGUUGUGGAUCAGUUGCAGGGAGAUCUUCUCCUAGAUUUGCAAAUCACUAUGUUAUAUCAGCAAGCAGACAGUUGACAGCAGCAAGGGCCGAAAAGAUAAAAAACAAGGUAAUAAAAGUGGUUCCACAAGCAACGUGAAUUCCCGUGUCUUUGAAGGAGGCCCACCUGAUGUUGGUGCACUCUGCAUUUGAGCAUCAUAUCGAGGCGUCUUGUGCAUGGGAUUUAGACGCAUGCUACUCUUCUAGGCAUGCAUGCACUCAAACCAGUGGACAACUGUUAGCUUUGCAAACAACUCAAAGUCCAUCGGUCAUGUAAUUACCUGGACGAGAAGACUUUAUAAGCUAGACGUGACAGGGAAUAUAACACUUGUACUGGUUUUAAAAGAUAUUUGCAAUUCAUUGCAAUUUGCAGGAGAUUGUUAGAAAUUUCACCCUCAGCAUAUCAUCAGCACAUUGGUAUUUGAUCAGCAGAACCAUUUUCCAACUUUUGGGAUUUCUCAAAUGAUGUUAUGGAACCCGAAAGUAGUUACUUCUGGUCUUUGUUGAUGCACAAGUCUUGUGACCAACAUGUUGAUUUUUCUUUAGCUGAAAUAUUUCCUUGCACUCUACCACUUUUGACACUGGUUUUCGACUGUUCCCCUGGUGGUCUGCUCGUCAUGUGUAGGUCUCUAGUUACACACUUAUAUAUCAUUGAAAAAGUUAGUCACCUUGAUCAGUGAGUUUGUUUUGAUGAACUGACUGGAAUCCUAUUGUGGCUGAAACGACGGCACAAGAGAUUUACAUAUAGUGCUCAUGAAUUUGUUCAGGCGGCUGAUCUUCCUACAGUAUUUCCUAUACUUGCAGGAAUUUUAUGAAAAGGAUGGUCAAUGUACAAGUAUUACAUAUUGAUUUGUUCUAAUUCAUAGGAGAAUGUUAAUAUGUUCGUAAAUUCUCUGCAGAGGGGUUUACGCUUGCAAAUUUUACAAGUGUUCUAUUCAAGAAGUGUCUGCAAUAUUUAGCCUGCUAAUGGCAUUUUCUGCCCCAUUUUGUUAGUUGCAUUAGUGUUCAAAAUACUUUUUCUCUGCAGAUAAUUUUCUGAUUUCUA